AUACUUACCUGGUAGGGAAGACACCAUGAUCAAGAAGGUGGUUCACCCAGGGUGAGGUUCAGCCAUUGCACUCCGGUUGUGCUGAAUUCCCCAAAUGUGGGGAAUCUCAACUGCACAAUUUCUGGUAGUGGGGGACUGUGUUGGCACUCUCCUCUG